UACGGAGGGUGCAAGCGUUAAUCGGAAUUACUGGGCGUAAAGCGUACGUAGGCGGCUUGUUAAGCAAGAUGUGAAAUCCCCGGGCUCAACCUGGGAAUGGCAUUUUGAACUGGCAGGCUCGAGUUCUGAAGAGGGUGGUAGAAUUUCCAGUGUAGCGGUGAAAUGCGUAGAUAUUGGAAGGAAUACCGGUGGCGAAGGCGGCCACCUGGUCAGAAACUGACGCUGAGGUACGAAAGCGUGGGGAGCAAACAGG
rnacentral:rRNA from 1 species